GUCUCCAUGGCAACAAGUAAGUCCAGUUUACCUGGAUCUAAAGUCAGGUUGGAUGUUAUGGUACGGUGGCCGGGAGGGGUCCGACUAAUGUCACAUCUACGACAAAACAACAAUCUUCAACAGUUACCAUGGUAACUAUCCAUCAAGCCCUGAUCAGACGGCCGUUCAAAGCGUGACAUGUACGUGUCAGAAACACCGACCACUGAGCGCCCGUUUGUGUUCAUGUGGUCGUGUUGGCGUUCUUCCUGAUAACGCCGGAGUGUGAUUGCAAAGCGAUUUUUAUCCACAGUUUGACACCUCCCGGCCACCGUACCACAAAGUGUUUACCUUUAAACGUUUCACUUUGGCCUUUUUUUAUUCUGAGUUUCAUCUGGGUUUACUUGGUGGAUUCAGUCGCCAUGGAAACGGUCCGUUCCUCGUUCUCUGAAGAUGACAUCAUGUCACAGAAACUCUUUGUCUCCUGAGACUCACCUGGACUAUGAGCAGGUGUGUUGUUUACAGACGGGUGGGGUUUAACAAAGACACACAGCAUGAUGUCAUCCUGCAGAAUGAGCUGCUAUACAUAAACUUUAUGUUAUUUAAAGGACGAUAUAUGAAACAUGAUAACCUGAAAGAAACGCUGAGCAGACACCUGAACACACGACAACAUCUCCUCAUCUGUGUGUCUGCAUGUAAACAGGUAUUGAGUGUGAUUAAUGUGAUAUUUAACAGCCUGAUAUGUUUGUCAUGUGACCACAGAGAGGUUUCUGCUUUUACUCGUCAGAAAAUCCACUUUCUUCCUUCAGUGUGUUGAUGGAUAUAAAACUACAACAUGUUUAGGACUUCUCAGCUUUAUUAAAGCUUUGUUUUGUUUAUAUCA